UACGAAGGGGGCGAGCGUUGUUCGGAUUUACUGGGCGUAAAGGGCGCGUAGGCGGCGCUUCGAGUCGCGUGUGAAAGCCCCGGGCUCAACCUGGGAGGUGCGCGCGAUACUGGGGUGCUGGAGUUCGGGAGAGGAGCGUGGAAGUUCCCGGUGUGAGCGGUGAAAUGCGCAGGAUGAAUCGGGAGGAACACCGGUGGGCGAAGG
rnacentral:rRNA from 1 species